GAUGAACGCUGGCGGCGUGCCUAAUACAUGCAAGUCGAGCGAACGGACGAGAAGCUUGCUUCUCUGAUGUUAGCGGCGGACGGGUGAGUAACACGUGGAUAACCUACCUAUAAGACUGGGAUAACUUCGGGAAACCGGAGCUAAUACCGGAUAAUAUUUUGAACCGCAUGGUUCAAAAGUGAAAGACGGUCUUGCUGUCACUUAUAGAUGGAUCCGCGCUGCAUUAGCUAGUUGGUAAGGUAACGGCUUACCAAGGCAACGAUGCAUAGCCGACCUGAGAGGGUGAUCGGCCACACUGGACCUGGGCCACGGUCCAGACUCCUACGGGAGGCAGCAGUAGGGAAUCUUCCGCAAUGGGCGAAAGCCUGACGGAGCAACGCCGCGUGAGUGAUGAAGGUCUUCGGAUCGUAAAACUCUGUUAUUAGGGAAGAACAUAUGUGUAAGUAACUGUGCACAUCUUGACGGUACCUAAUCAGAAAGCCACGGCUAACUACGU
rnacentral:rRNA from 1 species